rnacentral:tRNA from 1 species
UUAGCUCAAUUGGUCAGAGCAUGGUGCUAAUAACACCAAGGUCGUGGGUUUGAUACCCAUA